UACAGAGGGUGCAAGCGUUAAUCGGAAUUACUGGGCGUAAAGCGCGCGUAGGUGGUUUGUUAAGUUGGAUGUGAAAUCCCCGGGCUCAACCUGGGAACUGCAUCCAAAACUGGCAAGCUAGAGUAGGGCAGGGGGUGGUGGAAUUUCCUGUGUAGCGGUGAAAUGCGUAGAUAUCUGGAAGAACACCAAUGGCGAAGGCAAUGUUCUGGCUCGUUUCUGACGCUCAGGUGCGAAAGCCAGGGGAGCGAACGGG
rnacentral:rRNA from 1 species